rnacentral:misc_RNA from 1 species
GAUGAAGAACGUAGCGAAAUGCGAUACGUAAUGUGAAUUGCAGAAUUCAGUGAGUCAUCGAAUCUUUGAACGCACAUUGCGCCUGCCAGCACUCUGGCAGGCAUGCCUGUUCGAGCGUCAUUUCAACCAUCAAGCCCUAGGCUUGCGUUGGAGCCCUGCGGCUGCCGCAGGCCCCUAAAAGCAGUGGCGGGCUCGCUAUCACACCGAGUGCAGUAGAUUACUCUUCGCUCAGGGCGUGUGGCGGGUUCCAGCCGUGAAACCCCCUACUUCUCAAGGUUGACCUCGGAUCAGGUAGGAAUACCCGCUGAACUUAAGCAUAUCAAAAGCGGAGGA